UCCUACGCAGCCCGACCUGAACAGAUCAGCCGACCGAACCAGCUCCCCCGUCUCGUCCUUUGUUCCUCUCCAGCGGAGCGGCGGUGCAGCCACUCCGGUGGGCGGCGGCGUUGCACGGCGACUCCAGCGGCUCCGGAGGCGCGGAGACCCCAGCCACCAGGAAGCAACCGCAGGCGGCUCGGCUACUCCGGCACUACGGGCGGCGCUAUUCCCCCAGCACCACGGGCCCGGCGGCGAAUCUGGCAAGCAUGGGCGCCGCACCUCCGCCGACUAGGUAACCAAUUCUACCUACCGAUUGCAUUUGCCCUUUCAAUUUUGCUCCAGCCUUGGCUCGCUCUCUAACCCUAGAUUUGUACUCGCUGUACGGCGUGGACCAAACGGAUGAUGAGGCUCCCUCUGACUGGAAGUCCAGAAUGUGGACGAGAAGAAUUGAACCCGGGCAAAUAUUCAGUGGAAUGCCCAAGGAAUGACAAGGAUAUGAAGGUGAAAGGCUGGCGUUUCUUCAUGUGGCUGGACAAGUACUUGGACAUGGUCCAGGAAAUUGGAUGAUAAAUGUGCUCAAAAUGCGGCCGCUCGUAUUGUGUCUAGAGAAAUGCAGCGAUGCUCAAAUUGAUGCUAUUAGGGUUAAGGCUGCAGCAUUGGAUUGACGUAUCGCGAAAUUGGCCGCCCAAAAUGCGAAGCUUCAGCUUUGUCUUCCAGGAGAACAGUGAAUUUUAUCAGAGAGAUGAGAGAUUAAUCCUCAUAUUUCCCGAAUAAAGAAUUAGCGCGGCCACCACAGUUUGAAGCAGAGGUUGUAUGUUACCCAAAGCCAAAGAUUCUUUGUGAUUAUUUGUCAUGGAGACAAGCAUAGUGGAAAAUUAUCAAAGGACAACAACGAACCGGAGAUGUUCUGAAAGGGUUCGUGUAUUUACCAGCCAAAGGACAAAGCCUGGAAGACCGUCAGGUCAACUACAUGAAUGGCAAGAUAAUGCUGGAUGGCAAUGGCAGUGCAGCUGGCCCUUGAGGACUCUGGUUGCUCUUGUAGUAUUAGGGGGUAGUGUUGUUGUACUCAGCGCCUAUGUAUCCAGCCUUGAGUGUGUGCGUGUGUUGUGGUGGCGUGCAUUUGUGUCUGAGUUGUGGUCGGCCAUUGCUUUAUAUAUAAAGCGGGGCGAAAGCCUUUUUCAGUAAAAAGCUUUCACGUCUUUAUCGUGGAUGCCUUUGGGAAAAGAUAAAUGCAUUGGCAAAACAAGCAACAAACUGGCUGAUUCCAUCGCAAAGUGUUUUUUAUCGGAGUUGGGAGCUACCGGUGAACUUCCCACCAGUGAGGUGCUGUCACAUCUAAAAUUGUGGGA